rnacentral:lncRNA from 1 species
AACAACUCAAAUACCUAUGUCCAUUAGACCAUGAUUUAUUAUUGAUAGCCACAAACUCCAUCAAAACACCUGCGGAAAUUACAGUCAAACAGAGAAUAAAAUUUGCCACAGAGCAGAGAAAAAAGAACAAACUGAAGGGGAGCAACUUCGCUGAGAGGGUUUGAACUUUGAAGGGUGCGGUCUCGCAAUUGAGAACAAAAAUAAUUAACUAUAAUAGCAUUAAAAGGAAAGGGGAAAAACAUGAAGUAACUAACAACCAAAAGCUCUAAUAUCAAUUAAGAGACGAUACAGAGACGAAUCUAUGAACACCCUUAAAGUAAAUUAAAAUCACUUGAAACAACCUAUAACAUAAUUGAAAUUACUAACUUGAUUCAAGGAAAUAAAACUCUAUUUUAAGUCAGGACUAUAUAUAUGAAUAGAAAAUAUACCAAAAUACUAACACAAACAAGCUCGUAUAAGAUAACAAUGAAAGAUAGAGGGUUCAUAAAAUCAAAUUUCAGUUAGUGAGUGUAACUUACUUCUUAGAGAAAUCGGGUCCGAGAUUAUCUUUUAACCCUUUCUCAAUGACUUUAAAAGGAAGAGGAGAAACCUAAAUCAUCAAGAUGUUCUAAUUAGAAAGAUAACUAGCAAAAAACAAAAACUAAUUAGACAAUCUAGAACCGUCAGAAUACAUUGCAAAAAGGAUUGCAGGCAAACAAAAAUACAACAACAAAUCUACCUUGACAAAAUAUCCCCGGGAUCGCACAGUAAAAUGAAUCUGUUAUUUCUUCAUUUGCUUUGAGCCAUGACUACA